UGGCUAUCACGGGCUACCUGCUGGUCGGCCUGGUGAUGAUGAUGUGGUUCCUGACGGUGUUCGCCGAGAUCCCACAGCUCAACUUCGGCAUCAUGUUCCUGCACCAGUCGGACGAGGGCACCUCCGACCCGGAGAAGAUGCGCCUCUCGGGCGCCGGCGCCGGGCCCAAGUACACGCAACAGAUGGAGAACCACGUGAAGGCGAGCAGUCG